UACGGAAGGCAGCAGUGGGGAAUAUUGCACAAUGGGCGAAAGCCUGAUGCAGCUAUGCCGCGUGUAUGAAGAAGGCCUUAGGGUUGUAAAGUACUUUCAUCGGGGAGGAAAAAACAAAACUAAUAAUUUUAUUUCUUGACGUUACCCGAAAAAGAAGCACCGGCUAACUCCGUGCCAGCAGCCGCGGUAAUACGGAGGGUGCUAGCGUUAAUCAGAAUUACUGGGCGUAAAGAGCACGUAGGUGGUUUUUUUAGGUCAGAUGUGAAAUCCCUGGGCUUAACCUGGAACUGCAUUUUGAAACUGAAAUACUGAGUAUCGUAGAGGGAGGUAGAAUUCUAGGUGUAGCGGUGAAAUGCGUAGAUAUCUGGAGGAUACCUGUGGCGAAAGCGGCCUCCUAAACGAAUACUGACACUGAGGUGCGAAAGCGUGGGGAGCAAACAGGGAUUAGAUACC
rnacentral:rRNA from 1 species